ACUCAGCGUUCUCGCGAGGCGAGGUGCUGAACUGAGGUGGGAGGGUCUAAAUGCGAGUUCUUCCUCUCUCGGCCACUCCUGCUAGCGCGAAUUCUCGGCAGAAUGAGUGGUUAUCGCGAUCUCCAGUCUUUACUGGAGACGCGAGACCUUUCGGAAGAGGCAACGAGAACUGAGUUGUGAAUCUCGCUCCGUCUGGUUGCUGGGUGCAACGAGGCGUGUGAAGAGGCUUAGGACCCAUCUCUGAGAAACAGCAGAGCAACCUGGGAGGUUACCUGAAGUAAAACUGCCUGUCGACUGACAAGGAACAGUGAGUGAGAGCAGUGAAGCUGUACUAUCAAAACCAGUGCUGUGGAGCAGCAACCACUUGUUUGUUACGUGAAGAAUUUGGCAUUUGACUUGUACAGAGUGGUAAAUGUCACAAGUCUGAUCACAAAGUUUGAAGCAACUGGCAGUGUGUAUGAUGCCAAAAGACAAGGAAAAUGAGUUUCAGCAAUGACAGAAGGAAAGGCUGCCGAAUUAUGGGCAUCGUUAUGAAGCCCUCAAAAAUCCAGUGGGUGUCUGUCAGGGGAACUCGGUAUUAAUGACAGAAGUGUUUGAAGGUUAUUGGACAAAAUGAAAAUAAAGCCACACAUACUGUGUUUGCUACUCCUUACAUGCUAAGAGAUUCAGACAGAAAGGCAGAAUUUUGUGGAAAGAUUUUUGGCCAAAUUACAUAAGGAUGAGAACAUACCAACUAAGGUAACGGGGUGGUCAGAUGAAGCUAUGUUCAAAUUGAUCGGCCGUAUCAAUAACCAUAAUAAUGUGUAUUAGAGCAAUGUGAAUCCACACAUUAUCUUCGAGAAAGACAUAAACUUAUCAGGGGUAACAGUCUGGGCAACGGUAUCAGUCAUGGGUAUAAUUUGGCCAGUGUUCUUUGAUGGUACUACCAGUGAGAAUAAUUACCUACGUGUCCUACAGACAAGAAUUGUGGCCUAGAGUUGAACAAGACUGGAGUUUAUUUCCAGCAGGACGGUGUACCACAUUAUGUGUUGUGUGUCAGAGAAUGGUUGGGCAUGCAUUUUGAAGGGAGAUGGACAGGGCAAUGAGGGCCACUGGAAUGGCCAGCUCAAUCCCCAGACCUAACUCUGCCUGACUUCUUUUUGUGGGGCGUCCCUUAAAGAUAUGUGUACAAGACUGAACCCUGCAACACUGAUGAACUGAAAGACAGAAUCUGGGACAAAUUUGCUGACAUUACUCUCAAAUUAUGUCAUAAGGCUUGCUUGAGUGUCGUUGAUAGGGUAUGUGAAUGUCUCACUCGAGAGGGAUAGCAAUUUGAACAUUUCACCUAAAAUGUUGUAUGGUGUGCUUGAGUGUGAUAUUGUUAUGUUACAGAAUCACAUACUUAAGAUUUUGUAAUACAAGAUUUGGUAUCGAUUACCAGUGCAUAAAACAGGGGCGUUAUUUGUGCCGGACCCUGUAUAUAAUUUGGUUAAGUGAUUAUAAUAAUAAAGGAAGAGACACUGCCUUCUUAUUCUCUCCAGGGCUGGUCCCUAUACCAAAAGAACAGUGAAAGUUACAGUGAAUAAUUAUAGACUACAGCUUUCUGAGCCUAAUUGUGCUAUAAACUAGAGGAUUACCACUUGGGUCACUCAAACUACUGCUCAAAGGACUACCUCACUGGAAGUUAUUUGGCUUGACCUUAGACAAUGAAAGGGGGAAAUGUGGCAAUUUUUAAGCCCCUUAUGAUGUUAAACCAAAACAAAAACCACUCUUGUACAGAGAUAUUAUGUCUUAGUUCUCACCUUUCCUCUUAGAGACUACUUAAACAAUGAUACUACAGACUGGGAAUAAAGUAGAAGCCAUAGCUACUCAGAUCUUAGGUAUUAGGCAUAAUUGCAACAGAAUGUGAUAUGGCCAAAAAAACACCCAUGCCAGCAAAAAGUUCUUUCACCUACUCAUAAAUACUAUAAAAGGUCAAUUUUGUUAUCAGUUCUAGAACUGAACAGCACGGCUUUUAUGAAACUCAAAAACUUUUAGCCUCAAGCAGAGUGAAGGCAGUUAAGAGUCUCAACUCCUUAAAUAUGACAUUCAAGACCUUCCAACAAAGUUACAUGUAUCAGGGUUCUCAUGUCCUGUCUCCCAGUCUCUGACUCUGCAUAGCCAUUACUGACCUGCUCAUGUAUUUUUAAAAGCUCUGAGGGGAACUAUUAUUCUAACUAAACUGGAAAGUCCUUGAGGGAAAGAAUUGUCUUAAAUCCUUAAUGUUUAAGCUACCCUAAGAUUAAAGCAGCAGCACAGCAUAAAAAUAAUAUAAACCACAAAUAUUGAUUUCACUGAUUUAGCUUUUGGAAAUAAUUGAAAAUUCAAGUAUAAUUUACAACUUUAAGGCUAAAAGGUUGAAAACAAGUACCUGAAUUUUUUGGCCAACUUCUAAUCCUAGGGCAGUGGGAUGUUGAAUCUGAAAGAGAACAUGUUGACUCUAUUAGUUAUCAUGCAUAAUUACUUAGUAUCUAUGGUAGAAUAUAUUUUUUUCCCAAGUGGAAAAUAGCUUUAUUGGUUUUUCUGAUUAUAAAAUUGUAAUUAUAAAGACUUAAAAUAACCUUUCUACUUAUAAUAAACUAUUAUUAACAUGCCAAUAA